GAUGCCUAGAACUUUGUAAAACCUUUCAAUGCUCUUGUUUGUAAAUUUUCUUCAAUGAUGAUACUGUGUGGCACCCUAAAAUGACACAUAAUGUUUUUCCAUAUGAAGUUUUGUACAUGCAAAUUUUUUAUUUUUCUCAAUAGGUUUUUCUCAAUCUAUUUAGUGAAAUAGUUAAUGAUAACAAGUAAGAAUUUGCAUUGUCCUUUGGCGAGGAAAAAAAGACUAUACAUUGAUUCCUAGAAAGGAGAAAGACUAAAGAGCGUUGAUGUUAUGUAAUUGUGUUCAUAAAGUCACUAGUGCAAAAUAGGG
rnacentral:lncRNA from 1 species